rnacentral:lncRNA from 1 species
UUGGCCAAAUGAAAGCUGUAUAGUUUGUAGGACUGGAAUUACUGGGCACUGAACAUUUGCUACAUUUUCUUCCAAGAAUGGUUAAUCCACAGAUACUCCACUGAUACUACAGCUGGAAUUAUCUGCGGAAGAUAUGGCAGGGCAGCUUUCCACAGAGGAGAGAGAAGGCCUUGAACAGUUUCUGCAAUGGAUGGCAAGAGCUGCUUGUGCUGACGGUAUAGGCUCCAGAUCUGAAAAGAUCAUCGCCAGCUGUAUGAGGUGAAAGAUGAGGAAUUGUCCCACAUGGCAGAGCAGG